UGGACGUUACUCGCAGAAUAAGCACCGGCUAACUCUGUGCCAGCAGCCGCGGUAAUACGAGAGGGUGCAAGCGUUAAUCGGAUUUACUGGGCGUAAAGCGCGCGCAGGCGGUCUUGUUAAGUCGGAUGUGAAAUCCCUGCACUUAACGUAGGAACUUGCAUUUGAUACUGGCGAAAGCUAGAGUCAUUGGAGAGGAUGGUAGAAUUCCAGGUGUAGCGGUGAAAUGCGUAGAGAUCUGGAGGAAUACCGGUGGCGAAGGCGAGCCCUCUGGACUAAUACUGACGCUCAGGUGCGAAAGCGUGGGGAGCAAACAGGAUUAGAUACCCUGGUAGUCCAUGCUCGUAACGAUGUCUACUUAGGCAGGUGGGGCCUUUGAGGCGUGUAGCUGCGCGCAGCUAACGCGUUAAGUCGACCGCCUGGGGAGUACGGCUCGCAAGGACUAAAACUCAAAUGAAUUGACGGGGGCCCGCACAAGCGGUGGAGCAUGUGGUUUAAUUCGAUGCAACGCGAAGAACCUUACCUACUCUUGACAUCCAGAAGAAUCUCUCUAGAGAUAGCUUAGGUGCCUUCGGGAACUCUCAUACAGGUGCUGCAUGGCUGUCGUCAGCUCGUGUUGUGAAAUGUUGGGUUAAGUCCCGCAACGAGCGCAACCCUUAUCCUUAGUUGCCAGCACGUAAUGGUGGGAACUUAAAGGAUACUGCCGGUGAUAAACCGGAGGAAGGCGGGGACGACGUCAAGUCAUCAUGGCCCUUACGAGCAGGGCUACACACGUGCUACAAUGGCGUGUACAAAGGGAAGCUACCUAGCGAUAGCAUGCUGAUCUCAUAAAGUCACCGUCGUAGUCCGGAUUGGAGUCUGCAACUCGACUCCAUGAAGUCGGAAUCGCUAGUAAUCGCGGAUCAGAAUGCUACGGUGAAUACGUUCCCGGGCCUUGUACACACCGCCCGUCACACCAUGGGAAUGGGUUGCAAAAGAAGUAGGUAGCUUAACCUUCGGGAGGACGCUUACCACUUUGUGAUUCAUGACUGGGGUGAAGUCGUAACAAGGUAGCCCGUA
rnacentral:rRNA from 1 species